rnacentral:lncRNA from 1 species
GGCUGAAGGCUUGCUAUGAUGUCAGGUAUGCAAAUAAGGGGCACAAAUCCCUCCCUUCCUGAUCUUAGCUACUGCUGGGUGCCCUCUUCCUUCUUCUGAAAGGCCACAGUAUCCUCUGGAUUGGCAGGAGCCAAGGAGGGGCACCAGGCUGCCUGGCUGGCUGCACUCAUGUUGGAGUGGAGAAUGGUGAUUUGAUAGCCUGGGUGAGCACUGAAGCAAACUCUCCCAGACCGGUGAGGUUUAUAUCAAUUUAAUUUGCAACUUACUUCAGCCAAAAAAAGCCAACCAAUGACCCAGAUUCUAAGAGGGUGCAGAUGAAAUUUUGCCUCUCCUACUAUGACUGUGCCUACAAGGAUUUUCUGAUUAAUGUACUCCUCAUUACUGAUUCUAUAAUUGUAUAUUUUUAACAAACUACCAAUUUCAAUGAAUGUGUAAGUCAAGUUCUUUGCAUAUUGGAAUAAAUUGCAGGCUAACAGAUACAUGAU